GGUGAGAUGGCCGAGCGGUCUAAGGCGCCAGACUAAGGACCAGGACAAUUCAUGUCCACUCAAUCUGGUCUCUUCGGGGGCAGGAGUUCGAAUCUCCUUCUCAUCA
rnacentral:tRNA from 1 species